CUUGACUCAAAUUCUAUUUUUAGUUCCCGAUGAAGUGUUUAUAUUUUCAUACUUGAUUGAUGAUUACAAAGAUGUCUCCCUUUGUUUCUCUGUUGCAUAACUUGUAUAGUUAGAUUUUUUUUAAGUAUCUAGUUAAUGUCAGGCAUGGAUUCUGUUGAUUAUGGCCAGCUAGACAAUUCUUUGCUUACUUUGUAUAAACAAGCCUCUCUUAUCAAACUAUUCUCUUUUUCUUGGAUCUCUUUUUUAUUUGCAGGGAGAAGAUUUGAAGGAGAUUGAUAGUCUGAAAGACAGGAUAACAAAACUCCAAUUGAGACAAAUGAGGAUGCUGGGUAAAGAUUUAUCAAACUUGAGCUUGAAAGAAGUGCAGCAGCAGGAAAAGCAACUCAGUGAAAGCCUACUGUCUGUAAAAGCUAAGAAGGACCAAUUGCUGAUGGAACAACCCGAGCAUUCACGCAGGCAGGUACUUCACAGUAUUUAUAUGACUAAAUAGUUAUAAUUUUUGUUUGAUGUAUGUUGUUGGUCUUGUGACAUGGUACUAUGUGUUUUACCUAAGACUAAAGAUGCAGUUUUUACCUA